GACGAACGCUGGCGGCGUGCUUAACACAUGCAAGUCGAACGAUGAAGCGGUGCUUGCACCGUGGAUUAGUGGCGAACGGGUGAGUAAUACGUGAGUGACCUACCUUUGACUCUGGGAUAAGCCUGGGAAACUGGGUCUAAUACCGGAUACGACCAAUCUCUGCAUGGGGUGUUGGUGGAAAGCGUUAUGGAGUGGUUUUAGAUGGGCUCACGGCCUAUCAGCUUGUUGGUGAGGUAAUGGCUUACCAAGGCGACGACGGGUAGCCGGCCUGAGAGGGUGAACGGGCCACACGGGACCGGAGAAAGGGCCAGACUCCUACGGGAGGCAGCAGUGGGGAAUAUUGCACAAUGGGCGCAAGCCUGAUGCAGCGACGCCGCGUGAGGGAUGACGGCCUUCGGGUUGUAAACCUCUGUUAGCAUCGAAGAAGCGAAAGUGACGGUAGGUGCAGAGAAAGCGCCGGCUAACUACGUG
rnacentral:rRNA from 1 species